rnacentral:rRNA from 1 species
CCUACGGGUGGCAGCAGUGGGGAAUAUUGGGCAAUGGGCGCAAGCCUGACCCAGCAACGCCGCGUGAAGGAAGAAGGCUUUCGGGUUGUAAACUUCUUUUCUGAGGGACGAAGAAAGUGACGGUACCUCCGCAAUAAGCCACGGCUACGUACGUGCCAGCAGCCGCGGUAAUACGUAGGUGGCAAGCGUUAUCCGGAUUUAUUGGGUGUAAAGGGCGUGUAGGCGGGAAAGCAAGUCAGAUGUGAAAACUCAGGGCUCAACCCUGAGCCUGCAUAUGAAACUGUUUUUCUUGAGUGCUGGAGAGGGAAUCGGAAUUCCGGGUGUAGCGGUGAAAUGCGUAGAUAUACGGAGGAACACUAGUGGCGAAGGCGGAUUGCUGGACAGUAACUGACGCUGAGGCGCGAAGGCGUGGGGAGCAAACAGGAUUAGAUACCCUUGUAGUC